UACGUAGGGGGCAAGCGUUGUCCGGAUUUAUUGGGCGUAAAGAGCGUGUAGGCGGCCAUACAGGUCAGCUGUGAAAACUCGAGGCUCAACCUCGAGACGUCGGUUGAAACCGUAUGGCUAGAGUCCGGAAGAGGAGAGUGGAAUUCCCGGUGUAGCGGUGAAAUGCGCAGAUAUCGGGAAGAACACCUAUGGCGAAGGCGACCAUCUGGGGUUGUUCUGACGCUGAGGAGCGAAAGCUAGGGGAGCAAACGGG
rnacentral:rRNA from 1 species